ACCUUUGUGGUGUAGUGGUCAGCACGCUCGGCUGGUAUUCGAGACAUCCGUGGUUCGAGUCCCGGGGAAGGCA
rnacentral:tRNA from 1 species